AAUACGAAUACAAAAAUUAGCUGGGCAUGGUGGCAGGCACCUGUAAUCCCAUCUACUUGAAGGCUGAGGCAUGAGAAUUGCUUGAACCUGGGAGGCGGAGGUUCCAGUGAGCUGAGAUCGCACCACUGCACUCCAGCCUGGGCUACAGAGCAAGACUCUGUCUCAAAAAAGAAAACCCAAAGCCAGGGAGAUUUUAAUGCCAACCACCUAGAUCCAAACUCAGCCACUCCACGGACCCUCCCUGACGCUGCUGGGAGCCAGACACCACAGGGAAGCAGGGGCAAAAACUGACCCUCACGCAGUGUCCGCCUCCAGGGAACUGUGGAACACGUCGCAGAGAGCUCAAGCGCCACGUUUGGAUCCCUGAGCAGCUGUCACAAGCCUGCACCCAGGACUGGGGGGCCUGCUGCGAGAGCCCAAAGGGAAAGGGAGAAUUUCCAAGGCUGCAUCCAGCUCCAUCAGGCCCAGUGAAUUUCCACACAGCCCGGGUCACCACGCUGUUAUGAAAUCAAAUUCCUUCUGUGACCCCUAGUAUGUACCGGUAAAUCCAGCUGGAGGGCGGGAAUUCCCUAGCUGCUGCUGUGCUUUUGACAAUUUUUCAAGAGCAGGACACUCGCUGUACACAAUAAUCACUGAACAUUGAA
rnacentral:lncRNA from 1 species